rnacentral:rRNA from 1 species
UACGUAGGGUGCGAGCGUUGUCCGGAAUUAUUGGGCGUAAAGAGCUUGUAGGCGGUUUGUCGCGUCUGCUGUGAAAAUCCGGGGCUCAACCCCGGACUUGCAGUGGGUACGGGCAGACUAGAGUGUGGUAGGGGAGACUGGAAUUCCUGGUGUAGCGGUGAAAUGCGCAGAUAUCAGGAGGAACACCGAUGGCGAAGGCAGCACUCUGGGACGUGACUGACGCUGAGACGCGAAAGCGUGGGGAGCAAACAGG